rnacentral:snRNA from 1 species
UCGCUUCGGCAGUGCAUAUACUAAAAUUGGAGUGAUACUGAGAAGAUUAGCACGGCCCCUGUGCAAGGAUGACACGCAAAUUCAUGAAGUAUCCCAUUUUCUU